UCUAUUGGUGCGGACCUCGCCUUCAGUGG
rnacentral:piRNA from 1 species